rnacentral:lncRNA from 1 species
UCCAGGCUGUACUUUAUUUUACACAAGUGGUGGCCCCAGAGCCACAGGGACGUGUUCUGGAGAGUAGGCACAGUGCCUGAGGCUGCAAGAGCCAAAUACAGGGAUUCAUGCCUUCUCCUUGGUCCCCAUGACCAAAUUAAAAAAAGAAAAACCAACAAAUCACACAGCACACAUCGCCACACCCAUCUCCCUCCUUCCUUUCAGUAACAGCCAAUUCAGCUUUCUAGCCAAAGACAGUGGCUACAACUGAAUUUACAGAGAACCAUGCAGCCAAGAAACCAGAGCCAUGGAGGGGAGGGGCUUUGCGUUGACUUCCCACAUGUGCUGUCCCAUAGCAGCUACGUGACUCCACCAAGCCACUGUGUGGUUGGACACUGACAGGACAGGCGAUAAGACAAGCUAUGCAGGUGAAACUCCAAGGCAACCCCUUCAUGGUGUUGGCCAAACCCUCGAGCAGGUGACCUGUGGGGAGCCUAUCUGGACUCAGCUGGUGGAUCCAAAGCACGAGCCAGGCGUGAGGUU